rnacentral:rRNA from 1 species
CGGUGCGAUCAUACCAACGUUAGUGCACCGAAUCCCAUCAGAACUCCACAGUUAAGUGGGCUUGGGCUAGAGUAGUACUGGGAUGGGUGACCUCCCGGGAAGUCCUAGUGUUGCACCCU